GGGGAUGUAGUUCAGUUGGUAUAAUGCUUGCCUAGCAUGCAAGAAGUCUGGGUUCAAGCCCCAACACCA
rnacentral:tRNA from 1 species